rnacentral:rRNA from 1 species
UACGUAGGGUGCAAGCGUUGUCCGGAAUUAUUGGGCGUAAAGAGCUCGUAGGCGGUCUGUCGCGUCGAAUGUGAAAACCCGGGGCUCAACCCCGGGCCUGCAUUCGAUACGGGCAGACUAGAGUUCGGUAGGGGAGUCUGGAAUUCCUGGUGUAGCGGUGAAAUGCGUAGAUAUCGUGAGGAAGACCAGUGGCGAAGGCGGAUCUCUGGACAGUUCCUGACGCUGAGGCACGAAGGCCAGGGGAGCAAACGGG